rnacentral:tRNA from 1 species
GAGGGUAUAGCUCGGGGUUAGAUCGCAUGCUUAGCAUGCACGAGGUUCUGGGUUCAAUCUCAGUACCUCCA